CUGAUGACAGUAAAAAGCCAGUCUCACACAUCUAACGUUUGGAGUGUGGGCUAAUAGGGAAGAACUGUUCCCACUUAGAACAGUUCAAAUGGACAUAGAAAAUUUCUUCUCAUUUGGACAGCAUGUCUAUCUGUAUUUAUUUCAACAGGAGCUGGCACACUGUCCUUCCAGAUUUAGGAAGAAAAAAAAUUCUGUUUAGGAUAUUAGAUCUAUCAUCAUUCUCUUUGCUGCAGGUUUCUCCAUCCAGCCCCCCUGGUUCAACCCUGCCCCAUGGUCUCUUCUCCCAGUGCAGUGGCCAUCUCGGAGCAGAGGUGGUGACCCACUCCUCACAGCAGGAAAAGAGACUAACCAAGAUUCAUUCCGAAGAAAAAGAAGGGGAAGAAAUAGGAGGGAGGACAAACACCAUUUACUCAAAGCACUGGUUAACUCUUAGCUUCCUACAACGGCAGCGGACACCCCGACAGGUAAGAAUAAAGCAUAAGUUUAGCAUACAGAUCACUAACCACAUGAGAUAAAAGCACUGAUUUUUGCUUCCCCCCACCUUUUUUUUUUUUUGUGCACGAGUAGACUAGUUGCUAUGCAAGAGAAUCAAAACUACAUUUCUUCAGAAGUCUAACAUGUUUAAGUAUCAAUUAGAUAAGAGCUGUUUUUCACUGAACAGCCUUUUAGAAAGUAGUUUUAAGUAACUGUACGCAAAAAUAAGAUCAGAGUAAAAGCAUACUAGCUUACUAGAACAACACCUUUUUCUGCUGUG
rnacentral:lncRNA from 1 species